rnacentral:snoRNA from 11 species
GUUUGAAUGAUGAUUAUAUUAAAAUGUCGGAUACCCCUUCACUCUAAUUAUGAGUGAGAAUAAUAGUCUGACAAAC